rnacentral:rRNA from 1 species
AUGCCCCCUACUCUCCUCCCGCAGCCGCCCACCACCGCCGCCGGCCUCGUCCGCCACUACAUCGGCCUCCUCUCAGCCGCCGGCGUCUCCUCCUCCUCGUCCCUCCGCGCCCUCCUCCCUAUCCACGCCCGCGCCGUCCUCCUCGGCGUGGCCGCCAACCCAGCCUUCGCCACCAGGCUCCUCGCCGCGGCCGCCCCGUGCUCCCUCGCGUACGCCCGCAGGGUGUUCGACGCCGCGCCGCGCCGCGAUGCCUACAUGUGGAACACCCUCCUCCGCGCCCACGCCCACGCCCACUCCCACUCCGUCCCGGCCAACUCCCCCGCAGCGGAUGCGCUCCAGCUCUACAAGCGGAUGCGCGCCGCGGGCGUCGCGCCGGACUGCUACACAUACCCGAUCGUGCUCCCGGCGUGCGCGGCGGCGCGCGCCCCGCGGCUCGGGCGGGCCGCGCACGGGGACGCGGUGAGGUUCGCGCUCGCCGGGGACGGCUUCGUGCACAGCGCGCUCAUCGCCAUGUACUGCCAGGAGGGGGAGGUGGCGGACGCGGAGCAGGUGUUCCUGGCAGCCGCCGCCGGUGCCCGCACGGUCGUCUCGUGGACGGCCAUGGUCGCGGGCUACGCGCAGAACGGCUUGUUCGGCCAGGCGGUGGCGGUGUUCGGCACGAUGGUUGCCCAGGGAGUGCUCCCGAACGAGAUCACUCUGAUCAGUUUCUUGCCAUGCCUGCAGGGGCAGGAAUGUCUCACUGCCGGGGAGAUGGUUCAUGGGUUCGUGGUCAAGCUGGGGUUCGAUGCGAAUCUGCCGCUGGUGAACGCGCUGGUCGCAAUGUAUGGCAAGUGCAGGAGCAUCGCGUCGGCGAAGGAGUUGUUUGAUGGGAUGGCUGCGCGCACCGUGGUGUCCUGGAACACGAUGGUUGCCAUGUAUGAGCAGAAUGGUGAUGGGGUUCGGGCGAUCAAGUUCUUCCACAGGAUGCUUAGUGAGAAGGUGGGGUUUGACGCUGUCACUCUGGUCAGUGUGCUGUCUGCUUGCACACGCUCGGGAGCCCUCGAGACAGGGAAGUGGGUGCACGAGCUCGCCAGGAGUCAUGGGCUCGACACUGAUGCGAGGAUCGGCAAUGUUCUCGUGGAUAUGUACGCAAAAUGUGGCGAGAUUGCUUACGCAAGGCAGGCUUUUGAAGGUUUGCGCAAGCCUGGUGUCGUGUCAUGGAGUGCCAUGAUCAGUGCAUAUGCCAACCAUGGUGAGCCUGAAGAGGCUCUCAAUCUGUUCUCUGCGAUGAAAGAUCAAGCGGUAAAGCCUAAUUCCUUCACGCUCACUGCGGUUCUAGUGGCUUGUGGCUACUCUGGCCUUGUUGAUGAAGGGCUGGCGAUUUUCAACAGCAUUGUCACGGACUACCAUAUAUCACCAACACUUGAGAACUAUGCCUGCAUGGUUGACAUGCUAGGGCGUGCCGGCAGACUUGUUGAAGCGUAUGAAAUCAUCAGGGGAAUGUCGAUGCAGCCAGACAAGUGCAUUUGGGGUGCAUUCCUUGGCGGUUGCAGGCUUCAUGGCAACCUGGAGCUGGCUGAAUUUGUUGCCAAGGAUCUCUUCCAGUUGGGCUCUAACGACGUCACGUUCUACGUUUUGAUGGCGAACAUGUACUUCGAGGCUGGAAUGCUGGAAGAUGCGGAAAGGACGAGGAGGACGAUGAAGGAGAUGGAACUCAAGAAGACGGCUGGGCACAGCUUAGUUUGUACCAGUAGAGAAAGAAGAGCCAUCAUGAGGUAG